UCCGUAGGGUGCGAGCGUUAAUCGGAAUUACUGGGCGUAAAGAGUGCGUAGGCGGUUGCUGAAGUCCGCUGUGAAAGCCCCGGGCUCAACCUGGGAAUGGCAGUGGAAACUAGGCGACUUGAAUCUGGCAGAGGGGGGUGGAAUUCCGCGUGUAGCAGUGAAAUGCGUAGAGAUGCGGAGGAACACCGAUGGCGAAGGCAGCCCCCUGGGCUAACACUGACGCUCAGGCACGAAAGCGUGGGGAGCAAACAGG
rnacentral:rRNA from 1 species